GAAUGAAUCAGACUUUAAAGGACCACUUAACCAAAUUAGUCUUAGAGACUCAAUUGCCAUGGACCAAGUGUCUUCCUAUCACCCUGCUGAGAAUUCGAACUGCACCACUGAAAGAUAUUGGUCUUUCUCCUUAUGAGAUGCUCUACGGAUUGCCUUAUUUGAACUCUACUGCUGAUAUUCCUACCUUUGAAACAAAAGAUCAAUUUCUCAAAAAUUAUAUACUUGGUCUAUCUUCUACUUUCUCUUCUCUUAAAACUAAAGGUCUAUUGGCACAGGCGCCACCCUUGGAGUUCCCAGUGCAUCAACAUCAGCCUGGGGAUCACAUCCUCAUCAAAAGCUGGAAAGAGGAGAAGCUCGAGCCAGCCUGGGAAGGUCCCUACUUAGUGCUCCUAACUACUGAAACCAUAGUCCACACGGCAGAGAGAGGAUGGACUUAUCACACCCAAGUCAAGAAAGUGCCACCCCCUCCAGACUGUGCCAAAACUUUACAUAUAACAUCUGCACCAUUCUUGGAGGUGAGCUGUCCAGGAGAGGACCCAGCCAGAAUCAUCUGUGUGAGCUGUGGCAGGAUCGAGCUCUGCAAGUUUGUUGUGUGAAGCUACUGAGGUGCAGAACUGUGGGUUAGGCAGAGGGCCUCUCCUGAUUAAUAUUACUACAAUGAAAGCAGGAAGGCUUUGAGGGACUUCUGCAACACACGAGUCUAAAUUUAGUUUAAUUCUGCAUAAUGAUGGCUUAUUCCUUUUUGCUUUUAUCUUCUGAGUGCAUGGCAGAAGACCAUCUCCCAGUAAUGCUGCUGAUUCAGAUCCUUGAGCUGUGUGUUCCCACCACUGAGAGGAGAGACAAUACGGUGAAAAGAACACAGAUGCCUGUGCUGCCUUUCCAAAUUCUGCCCCCAAAGAAGCACUAUGAUGCUGGCAAUUCACUCACCCUCUCUCAACGAUUUCAGUUUCUCCAUCUGUACAAGGAAGCUGAGAUCCCUGCUUCAAGUGCGGUGCUGUGCCAAUCUCUUCACAUGUGUUAACACACUUCGUUCCACAUCAACCCUUAGGGAGAUCCUAUUCUUGUGCCCAUUUUAUGGAUAAGGAGACUGAGCUUCACAGAUGUUAAGUAGUUUCCCCAAGGUCAGAAAACUCAUAAGUGGAAGUCAUAGGGGACCUCUUCUCCAAGAAAGGCCUUCUUGGGGCCUCUUAUUUUGCACAGUGCCACCAUUUCAAUUGGCAAAGAAAACUCUCAGCGCUCAAAGGGCACACUAUUGACCUACUUGCCAUCCAGCCCCUAUGGAAAGCUUGACUCAGCAGGGGCAAACCUGAGCAGGAGCUCCAGCUCAUUGCACAGUAGACACCUGGGUCACAAAUCUGGGUUAGGGCUAAGAUUUUGCUUGAUGACCAAAGAGUCAUCUAUCAGCUCUUCACACUUCCUGAUUUUUAAAAAUCUUUUUUCUUUACUUGCCCAAGUACUACGUGUUCAGUUUCAUGUAUCACUGUCCUUUUUUUUUUUUUCUGUGUGAAUAAAACUGAAGUUUUGGGGUCCCUGACCUGUAGUAUAAA